UUCCAGUCUUUCCUUGUUUUGAUUUUCC
rnacentral:piRNA from 1 species